GAAGGCCUGUAUCACUAUGAGCUUCCCUCUAAGAACUGCUUUUGUGGCAUCCCAUAGAUUUUGAAUGGUUGUGUUUCUGUUAUCCUAUGUCUCAAGAUAUUUUUUAAUAGCCCUUUUGGUUUCCUCAUUGACCCAUUGUUUUUUGGGGGUUUUUUGUUUUUUUUUGGUGUGUUGUUUAGUCUCCAGGUAGUCAGUUUUUUUCUCAUUUCUUUUCCUGUGGUUGAUUUCUAAUUUUAUGCCAUUGUGGUCAGAGAAGAUUCUUGAAAUAAUUUCUAUACUCUAAAGUUUAUUAAGGUUAGUUUUGUGCCCCAGUAUGUGGUCAAUCCUUGAGAAUGUUCCAUGUGCACUUGAAAAAAAUGUAUAUUCUAUAUUUGGGGGGGGGGAGGUAAUGUCCUGUAAAUAUCAAUUAAGUCUAACUUUUCUGUUACGUCAUUUAGGAUCUCUGUUGCCUUACUGAUUUUCUGUCUAGAGUAUCUGUCCAUUGAUGUGAGUGUGGCAUUAAAGUCUCCUCGUAUUUUGUAAUUUUUUUUUGAUUAUUGUUUCUUUAAUAUCAGCUCUAUUUCUUUCUCUAGAAGUCCCAUUAUAUUUGAUAUCCCAAAUAAGUUCAUCCUGACAAUUUUAUAAUUCAUGCUAAACAUUUCUAACAUUGUAAACAUUGUUAAUUUCUUCCUCUGUGUUCUGGUGUUCGUGUUUACCUUUCUUCUAUAGCAUGCAAUUGCUGUAUCUGUUCAAUACUGAUAAAAUUCAAAAACAUAGAAAAGAGUCAUUGUGGUAUUUUUAUAUUAUAAAGCAUGAGGAUGUGUGUUUUUUUUUUUAUCAUUCUUUACCUUGAAGUGUUCCCUUUUCAUAGAUGCAAUGCCCUUUUAAGCUAUUUCAAAAGCAGAAGAAAGUUUCUGAUGUUAUCGCCAGUACCAUGUAGUAAGAUUGUUUCAUAGGUAGGUUUUUGCUCUGAUUCUUUAAAUCCUUUUCUGAUGAAGGGCUGCCACUCUUUUGUAAGUUUGUUGUUUUUUUUUUCUCUACUUUUUCCAUCCUUAAAGUAUGGGUUGCUGAAUAGGAGGAAAGAACAGUCUAUUGUCCAAAAUUAGAUAGGAGAUUUAAAAAAAAAAAAUCUCUUAUUCUCUUUGUAAACUCUUUGUGGUCCAUAUAAGGGAAAGAAGAUAGACUUCAGAUUUUCUUUGUUGAUUUCAAUAGAUUAGAUUUGGAUUAUCUGUUAGGAGACAGAGAUGGGGAUGGGCAGAGGUGGCCUCAGGUCAGGAUCUCUACAGCUGUGGUAAGGGGUUUCUUUUCAGUAUGCCCUUAAAUCACAAAAUAAACAUGAAUAUUGCCUUCUCUUUUCUAAUAAACAUGACAUCUUAUUAGAAACAAGACAUGGGCAGGUCCAUCUGAUAUACUUAGCUCACUCUUUUCUUCUCCUUCUCCUUCUUCUUCUUCUUCUUAGGGCCACACCUGGGGCAUGGAAGUUCCAAGGCUAAGGGUCAGAUUGGAGCUUCAGCUGCUGACCUAUACCACAGCCACAGCAAUGUUAGAUCUGAGCUACAUCUGCAACCUAUACCACAGUCCGCACAACUCCAGAUCCUUAACCCACUGGCCAGCAUCAAACUCACAUCCUCAUGGAUACCAGUCAUUGAGCCAUGACAGGAAUUCCAACCUAGCUCAUUCUUAUUGGAGACCAUCAGGAAAAACAUAGAAGGUGCCACGACUUCCCCUUGGCACCAUCCAUAGAAAGAUUUCUCCACUUUAUGGAAAAGUAUUUUUAAUUGUUUUAUAUGAAAUGUUUUUAUGUUUUGUGUAAAAACCAUUGUUGCUAGACCAUGCAUAAAAAAGUUCUUGUAAGUGGUCUGCAUGGAUGUACUGAGAAAGAAUAAAUCACAUACUCAAAUCCCUUGCAUGUUCUAUCUUUGAUGUUGAUGAAUUCCUUAUGGAUCAAGAGGGAAGCUAGUCUGUUGAAAUCAAAUGGGAUCUAACCAGGCAGAUUCAAUAGAUAUUGACUUUAAGAGAGGCUCUUUGGUAUUAAGGACUGGAAAGCUAUAAAUAUAUUUCAAUGUCAGCAAGUUUUCUGCCCUCUGUGCCCUGAGCAAAGGAAUUUAAGGUCAGAGCAAUGCUUUCAACUUGUUGGAAGAGAAGCCCAAUUGAGCUUACUGAGUUCGAGCCAUCAGGCCUAGACACUGCUUUCCUUCCAUAUGGCUCAUCCCCCCUUCUAGUACUAUGGGAAUCUGCAGCUCUAGAGGAAAGAACCUUCAACCAAUUAAAACCCCCACCUUUAAGCUAAGGACUAAAAGGAGAAGAAAUGCUAUAGUAUUGCAUAGGCAUUGCAUUUAGUAAAAGAUACAAGUAUUUAUGAAAGCUGUUAGAUGGUCUCUGAUUUUCAAACCCUGACAUUUCACCCUCAAUUCUAUAAAAGAUAUUAGAUAUAGUCUAACCCUGAGAAGGGAACAUCCCCACUGAUGGUCACUCCCUAAAGUUUAUCCUUCUGUAUCAAAUGUUAGCUGAGAAUGUCUGCAAAUGACUACCACUCUUUAGUGACACUCAACUCAUCCUCAUAUUUUCUAGAAGAAAUAAGAUUUGUGCUCCAUCCUAACAUCUCAGGGGACUGCUCAAGCCAGUUUUUGUUCCUACUCAGUGAUUCACAGUUUGGUGAGCGCGCAUUCUGGAGCUUGGAGUCGCUUAAAUGUGUGUUACUGAAAUAUCUCUGGCAUGAGGAGGGCACUCUUUCUUUUCUUUUUAGUGAAGUAUUUUUUGUUUAAAAUACUAUAUUUCAGGUGUACAACACAGUGACCAAAUACAUUUAGAUUAUUUUCCAUUUAAAGUUACUAUAAAAUAUUGGCUAUUUUCCCUGUGCUGUACAUCCUUAUAACUUAUUUAUUUUAUACAUAGAAUAAAUCCCCUGCCCCAUUACAAUAAUCUUUCCCCAUUGAUAAUCACUAGUUUGUUGUCAACAUCUGUGAGACUAUUUCUGUUUCGUUGUACUCAUUUUACUUUUUAGAUUAGACAUAUAAGUAACACAUACAUUAUUUAUCUUCCUCUGACUUAUUUCACUAAGCAUAACAUUCUCUAGGUCCAUCCACAUUGCUGCAAAUGGCAAUAUUUCAAUAUUCCAUCUUCAUCUUUAAACUUGUGCCACUUGACUUAUGAUAGUCUUAGUGUAAGCUCUUAGGGUUCAUCUUUUUGUGGAAUCUCUGUGCUUCUUCUACCUGGAUAUCUGUUUUCUUCUUCAGGUUCAGGAAGUUUUCAACCAUAAUUUUAUCAAAUAUAUUUUUGAACUUUUUCUCUCUUUUCUAUCUUUCUGGGACCCCUAUAUUGUGAAUGUUAGCACAGCUGAUUUUGUCCCAGAGUUUCCUUAAACUACUCUCAUUUUUUAAAUUAGUUUUUCUUCUUGCUCUUCUGAUUGGGUGAUUUCUAUUAUUUUACCUUCUAGAUUAUUUAUGCAUUCUUCUAUACCACCUAGUUUGUGUGCAGUUAGUUCCUUCUAGUGAGUUUUUAAUUUCAUUUAUUGUAUUCUUUACCUCUGAGAGGUUAUUUUUUGUAUUUGUGGCUCCUUAUUUAAAUUUGCAUUGUUUUCAUCUAUUAUUUUCCCAAGUUCUGUUGGCAUUCUUAUCACUAAUGCUUUGACCUCUAUCUGAUUAUUUAUUUAGCUCUCCUUCAUAAGUUAUGUUUUUAAGAUUUUUUUCCUUGCUAUUUCAUUUGAAACAAGUUCCUCUGUCUUCUCAUUUUGUUUACCUUUCUCUGCCUUUAUGGGAAUUAUGUGAAAUAAUUACCUAUAUUGGGAUUGAGAGGGUACCCUUGUGUGGGAGCAUUCCUAUGCUGUGUGUGUUCCCAGUGGUUUUGGUGGGGGAGCUGGAUCUGACAUGAUGACAUUUGCCCCAGUGGGGUGCAGUGUUGGAGAAAGAAGGCCAUAUCGGGCACUGACGCAUGUCUAGGGUGUGUACUAUAAUGGGUCCAGCACACCAGCCAGAACUUGAGACAGCUCCCAAUCUGCCAGCUCCAUGAGCACCAGCAAUACACGCCCUGUCCCUGUUCGGGUGUGCUGGAUCUGAGCCAGUUUUGGCCCCCUCUGCUGUGCACUAUCCUUCUAAAUUGUAGAGUUCUUCCUAGUGGAGAGAUGCACCAGAGCAAAAGAGGCUGAAUCAAGCACUAAACACAGGCCAGCACACACACUGGGACAGUCUCAGCAUGCCAGCCAGAGCUUGAGAAAGCUGCCAAUCUGCCACCUCCAUAAGUAUCAGAAAUGCUGCAUUCCCUCUUUUCAUUUGCAGUGUUGGGUCUGAGCUGCCUCUGUCCCCCAAAGUAUAUACUCUCUAGGGCAAUAACUACCUUUACCCUAAUAGAAAUCUGUACUAGAACUACAGAGGCUGGAGUGGGCACUCAGCACAGGCCAGGACAUGCACUGGGGCAGUAGCUGGAAACCAGCCAGAAACCCAGGCAGUUUCAAUCUGCUUCUUUUGCCUUGUUCCCUAGAGUAAGCAUGUAUGCUCUCAAGAGCACCUAGGUUUCUUACAGCUCUCCUGCAAGUUCCACCAGUUUUCAAAUCAGUGAAGGGGAUUCAUCUCUCUAAUGUCUGACCCCAGGACUGGGAGUGCCCAAUAUGUGGUUUAAACUGCUUAACUAUUCAUAGAGACUCUCUGAGCCUCUGAAAUCCUCUCUCCUUCUGUGUACCCUCUUGAAGGCUCAGGUCUCAACCUGAUUGCUUCUUCUCCUUCUAUCUCGACUCCACAUAGAUCUAUUUUCACAUCCCUGGUUGUAGAAGAAACUUUCUGUCAGUGUCCAGUAAGUUUUAGGUGAUAAUUACACCACGUGUAGAUGUAUUUUUCAUGUGGUCAUGGGAGAGGCAAGCUCAGUGUCCUCUUACUCCACCAUUUUGCUCUUCUCCCAGACCAUUUAUUUCAGAUUCUUGACAUCCAGUCCUGACAGCCCAUUUAUAGGAUGUCAAGUGCAGGGGUUUGGCACUCAGAGUUGUGAUAAAGCAUCUGGGCCUGAUUUACAGAAGAGACUAUGAAGCUGUGAUGAUGAGAAAAUAAAUGAUGGUAUUUCACAGGACGGGGAAUUAGAAAAACCAUUUGUUCUUGCAUUUGGCAUUGAGACAGGCCAUAAUUCAAGGUCAGUGUCUUAAUUUCUGCAUCUCAGCUUCAUCACCAUUAAAAUAAAACAGAGAAAUGCACAAUCCAGCCCCUACUACAACAUUCAGGGAAACAGCUGUGGACUGGGAGAGGAGUGGACGGUCAUGAAUUAACAUGGAUGAAUGUUGGCAAAGGCAACAUCAGCAUGUACAUACAGACAAAAUCAAGAGUGCACAGAGAACUGUUUGUCACCUAGGAUACAGAUGGAUCAAAAAAAGGUAAAAUUUUUAAAAUGUUAACUGACUUCCCGGAGUUCCCAUCAUGGCUCAGUGGUUAACGAAUCCAACUAAGAACCAUGAGGUUGCAGGUUCGAUCCCUGCCCUCUCUCAGUGGGUUAAGGAUCCGGCUGUGGUGUAGAUUGCAGACGCGGCUUAGAUCCCAUGUUGCUGUAGCUCUGGUGUAGGCCAAGGGCCACAGCUCCGAUUAGACCCCUAGCCUGGGAACCUCCAUAUACUGCAGGAACAGCCCUAGAAAAGACAAAAAAAAAAAAAGUUAAUUGAUUCCCCAAUUAGAAAUAAUUAAUGAUUGUGUCUAAUUAGCACAAUAUAUUUUGUGUAUUUUUUUAUAUUUCUUUCUUUCUUCUUAGAAAGAAUUUUAAAAACUUCCAACUGCAUAUAAAUGUAUCAGUGUAACUGAUCACAUUUUUUAAAACUAUAUGAACAUAAAACAUAAAUAAAGAUAAAAGAUAAUUCUGGAACUAGAAAACUAUUUUUCUGGUUUGGGAGCAAAACACCAAACAUAUUUACACAGAAUCAGUCCCUAUGGCAUUAAGAUCUGGGUAAGUUAUAAAAAGCUACAACUGGAAAUUGCACCCACAUUUUUUCCUUGACAACAUAGCACAAUGCACCUCUAAUCACUCAGAGUUGCAUCAUUCUUUACUGUUUUCCUGCCAUCCGUAUUCAUGUAUAUUUAUGUGAAGUCCAAAAAUAUCCAGUCUCACUUACUUCAGAUGAUUAUCUAUGUCCUAAUCGAAAGUACUAAUCAGCAAACAUAUAACAUACUCAAACCCCAUUGUGUAAGACAAACAACAUCCAGAAAACAGAAAAAUCCUGCUUAGAGAAAAUGAUCUUGAAACUAUCUUCCACUUUUUAUAUCAUUUGCUCCUCGUUUCUGAAUUUUGAAAGCAAAAAACUAUGAAAAAUGGAUCCUCUUAGGAUCUCCUAAACAUAAAGGAGAAGAGAUCAGUACAGCACUAGUUUACUUCACAGGCAAAUUCUAUUAAACAUUUAAAGAAGUGUUAACACCUACCCUUCUGAUACUAUUCCAAAAAACUGCAGAGGAAGAAACACUCCCAAACUUCAUUCUACAAGGGCACCAUCACCUUGAUACCAAAACCAGACUAAGUAAGACACCACAAAAAAAAAAAAGUUAAUAUGGGCCUAUAACACUGAUGAGCAUAGAUGUAAAAAUCCUCAAAAAAUAAAAGCAAACAGAAACCAAAAAUACAUUAAAGGGAUCAUAUAUCAUGAUCAAAUGGUAUUUAUGCCAGGGAUGCAACAGUUUUCAAUAUCCACAAUUCAAUCAGUGUGAUAUACCAUGUUAACGAAUUGAAGAAUAAAAACCAUAUGGCCAUAAAAUAGAUGCCAAAAAGCUUUUGACAAAAUUCAAUACCCAUUUAUGAUAAAAAAAAAUAAACUCUACAGAAAGUGGGCAUAUGGGGAACAUAUCUCAAUAUAAUAAAGCCCACAAAUGACAAACCCACAGCUAACAUAAUUCUCAAUGGUGAAAGGCUGAAAUCAUUUCCAAUAAGGUCAGGAUCAAGACAAGGAUGU
ensembl:lncRNA